rnacentral:rRNA from 1 species
GAUGAACGCUGGCGGCGUGCUUAACACAUGCAAGUCGAACGAUGAAGCCCAGCUUGCUGGGUGGAUUAGUGGCGAACGGGUGAGUAACACGUGAGUAACCUGCCCCUGACUCUGGGAUAAGCCCGGGAAACUGGGUCUAAUACUGGAUAUGACCUGUCACCGCAUGGUGGUGGGUGGAAAGAUUUUUUGGUUGGGGAUGGACUCGCGGCCUAUCAGCUUGUUGGUGAGGUAGUGGCUCACCAAGGCGACGACGGGUAGCCGGCCUGAGAGGGUGACCGGCCACACUGGGACUGAGACACGGCCCAGACUCCUACGGGAGGCAGCAGUGGGGAAUAUUGCACAAUGGGCGCAAGCCUGAUGCAGCGACGCCGCGUGAGGGAUGACGGCCUUCGGGUUGUAAACCUCUUUCAGUAGGGAAGAAGCCUUUGGGUGACGGUACCUGCAGAAGAAGCGCCGGCUAACUACGUGCCAGCAGCCGCGGUAAUACGUAGGGCGCAAGCGUUAUCCGGAUUUAUUGGGCGUAAAGAGCUCGUAGGCGGUUUGUCGCGUCUGCCGUGAAAGUCCGGGGCUUAACUCCGGAUCUGCGGUGGGUACGGGGCAGACUAGAGUGCAGUAGGGGAGACUGGGAAUUCCUGGUGUAGCGGUGAAAUGCGCAGAUAUCAGGAGGAACACCGAUGGCGAAGGCAGGUCUCUGGGCUGUAACUGACGCUGAGGAGCGAAAGCAUGGGGAGCGAACAGGAUUAGAUACCCUGGUAGUCCAUGCCGUAAACGUUGGGCACUAGGUGUGGGGGACAUUCCACGUUUUCCGCGCCGUAGCUAACGCAUUAAGUGCCCCGCCUGGGGAGUACGGCCGCAAGGCUAAAACUCAAAGGAAUUGACGGGGGCCCGCACAAGCGGCGGAGCAUGCGGAUUAAUUCGAUGCAACGCGAAGAACCUUACCAAGGCUUGACAUGGACUGGAUCGCCGCAGAGAUGUGGUUUCCCUUCGGGGCUGGUUCACAGGUGGUGCAUGGUUGUCGUCAGCUCGUGUCGUGAGAUGUUGGGUUAAGUCCCGCAACGAGCGCAACCCUCGUUCCAUGUUGCCAGCGGGUUAUGCCGGGGACUCAUGGGAGACUGCCGGGGUCAACUCGGAGGAAGGUGAGGACGACGUCAAAUCAUCAUGCCCCUUAUGUCUUGGGCUUCACGCAUGCUACAAUGGCCGGUACAAAGGGUUGCGAUACUGUGAGGUGGAGCUAAUCCCAAAAAGCCGGUCUCAGUUCGGAUUGGGGUCUGCAACUCGACCCCAUGAAGUCGGAGUCGCUAGUAAUCGCAGAUCAGCAACGCUGCGGUGAAUACGUCCCCGGGCCUUGUACACACCGC